AUUGAACGCUGGCGGCAUGCUUUACACAUGCAAGUCGAACGGUAACAGGCCGCAAGGUGCUGACGAGUGGCGAACGGGUGAGUAAUGCAUCGGAACGUGCCCAGUCGUGGGGGAUAACUACUCGAAAGAGUAGCUAAUACCGCAUACGAUCUAUGGAUGAAAGCGGGGGACCGUAAGGCCUCGCGCGAUUGGAUCGGCCGAUGUCAGAUUAGGUAGUUGGUGGGGUAAAGGUUCACCAAGCCAACGAUCUGUAGCUGGUGUGAGAGGACGACCAGCCACACUGGGACUGAGACACGGACCAGACUCCUACGGGAGGCAGCAGUGGGGAAUUUUGGACAAUGGGCGCAAGCCUGAUCCAGCAAUGCCGAGUGCAGGAAGAAGGCCUUCGGGUUGUAAACUGCUUUUGUACGGAACGAAACGGCUCUGGUUAAUACCCGGGGCUAAUGACGGUACCGUAAGAAUAAGCACCGGCUAACUACGUG
rnacentral:rRNA from 1 species